rnacentral:rRNA from 1 species
AAAAACAUGGCCUUUUGAUUUUUAUUUAAGGUCUAGCCUGCUCAAUGAGUUUUAAAUAGCCGCAGUAUCUUAACUGUGCAAAGGUAGCAUAAUCAUUAGUUUUUUAAUUGAAAGCUGGAAUGAAAGGUUGAAUGAGAAAAUAACUGUCUCUAUAAAAAUUUUAUAGAAUYUUAUUUUUAAGUAAAAAAGCUUAAAUUUAAGUAAAAGACGAGAAGACCCUAUAGAGUUUUAUAUUUAUUAAUAAUAUUUCUUUUAGUAUUUUAAAAUUUAUUUUUUUAUAAUAUUUGGUUGGGGUGAUUAGAAAAUUAAAUAAACUUUUCUUUUAUAAAUACAUUUAUUUAUGAAAAGAUGAUCCUUUUAUUUAGAUUAUAAGAUAAAAUUACCUUAGGGAUAACAGCGUAAUUUUUUUUGAGAGUUCUUAUCGAUAAAAAAGAUUGCGACCUCGAUGUUGGAUUAAAAUAGAUUUUUGGUGUAGAAGCUAAAUUAAUUAGGUCUGUUCGACCUUUAAAAUUUUACUUGAUCUGAGUU